rnacentral:lncRNA from 1 species
GUGACAAGUGCUUGGGGGAUGUUUACCAUAUUUUUCCUCACUCGGCAUAAAUGUCACCUCUUCCUGAAAGACCUUUGCAGUCUCGAGCUAUACCUGUGGGCAGGAUACCUCUGUCUAGUCCUCACUGCAUGAAGUUGGUAGCUGCAGGAAACUGUUAUUUCCUCUCUGGUGCUAGCAGAACGAAGGCCCUUCUAGCAUCUGCAUCCCAGAAGUCAAGAACAAAGGUCACUUGUGGGAUCCUAGAGCCUUCUGCCCCCAAUUCUGGAAAACACAUGCCACGGCCCAGGCAUGCAGACCUGUCUGCUCAUGGCAGUCUCAGAGCCACACCACUGGUGGUUCAUAACUGGCUUCCUACACCAAGGACCCACAAAGGCAGCAAGGGCAGCAGAAAGCACCUGGGCUCCAGAGGAACAGGAGGAACCUGGCAAGGAGUCAGGGCUGGGACUCACCAAAACUCCUCUUUGGUAGCCAGUGCAGGUCACAUGCCGGAAGCCCUUCUGCAUGGCUGGGGAUGCAUCGUGGAAGCCCAGUGGAAGAUGGUGGCAGGAGUACAUGGUGGAGUAGCCAAGGUACAUCUUGGAAGGAUCUCUCUCCAGUUGGGACAAAAGGGGAUGAAAGUAGAAGCAAAGCAGGGAAAGUUCCUAGGAUGCCCUGCUUACCUGCUUUUUCCUACCCAAGGCUGA